rnacentral:lncRNA from 1 species
GCAGAAACAGGAGUGUGUUUGGCAAAGCGCCAUGUUGACUACUGGCAACCUUUGGCCACGAAGACUGCUGAGCUUGCACACACCCAGGCAGCACUGUAAGAAGUACCUCUAGGCCUGGGAGGCAUUGAGAAAAAGGAAGUGGGUCCUGUUCUGGUUCUUGCGACUGUAGUCACCGCCCGAGGCAAAUGACCACUGUCCUGAGAGGACGUGGAUGAGGGCAGGGAGAAGAGGGGGUCCUCCACGUCCCUGCCAGCCUUCUCCAGGCCCAGCCAUUCUGGAAGCCGCACUCAGAAGGGGCAGAUGCUGUGCCCUUUCCUGCCCCCUAGCAUGGCACAG